rnacentral:rRNA from 1 species
UACGUAGGGUGCAAGCGUUGUCCGGAAUUAUUGGGCGUAAAGAGCUCGUAGGCGGUCUGUUACGUCGGCUGUGAAAACCUGGGGCUCAACUCCGGGCCUGCAGCCGAUACGGGCAGACUAGAGUUCGGAAGAGGCGAGUGGAAUUCCCGGUGUAGCGGUGAAAUGCGCAGAUAUCGGGAGGAACACCUAUGGCGAAGGCAGCUCGCUGGGACGUUACUGACGCUGAGACGCGAAAGCGUGGGGAGCAAACAGG